GCCUCUUUUUAUUUUUUUAUUUUUUUUAACAGCUUGAAUUGGUAUAGUUUAAAGCAGCCAUGAGUGAAACAGGACAAAAAAGCCUAUCUGGGAGGCAGGGUUAAAAGAGAGUGAGAGAUGUAAAAGCUAAAACCAAAUGUGAAAGUUAAGUUUCCGGAGCAGUAACGGAGGGAUUGUUCUGUUGGGCCACAUCCUGAGCCGACUCAGCGCAGGUCCACUUGUGAGUCCCACUCUGUCUUCACCAUUCAGCUCAACACCUUGUCCGGUCACCUUUUUUUCAUGAAUCUUCCCAAAGAGCACAAAGAAUAGGGCUCUCCUGGACACCGAGGAGCAGAGUUCACUCAUCACCACCUCCGGCGUUAGGUAUCACUGUUUAUAUGAGGAUGCGCAGUGGGUUUACGGUACUCUGGACACUCUGUAAGGGGAGAGAGACCCGCCCACCCAACACCUCCCCAGUCCCAUCGAUCCUUCCUAGGCACAGCUUUUUGGAUGGUGCUCGUGAGUCCACCCGACAGCUACAUUCUUCCCAACACAACCCCCCCUGUGUAAUAUCUAGGCACGGUAAAAAUCUGCUUCUUGCAAUUGAAGAAAAUCCACGGAGCUAGCUUCCUGGCGUACCACAGCAACCCUCGCCACCCGUCAGGAGCCUCUUUUGAACUCCCUUACCUAAGUCUUUGCUCUUCACCUGAGCAUGAACACGGUUCAUCCUGGUGAACUUCGGCCACGUUCUGCUCCAUAAGUAUUUGCUGGGGGGGGGGGGGGGGGGCUAAAGGGAGGAAAUAAAAAGGGGAGGGAAGGAUACCUCCCACUUCUCCCCAGCCCUGCUUCACCCUCCCUUUCCAUUUGCUCUCCUGGAGGUUGUAUAAAUCCUGUUCUUGGUUAGACGUCUCCUCAUUAACAGUGUUAUAUGCAUAUAAAUAUAUAUAUAAAAUAUAUUCCUUUUUUCCAGCCCUGUAGACAUGAACUGAUCUUCCCUUGACGAUAUAAAAACAUGGCCAUUUUCUGGUUCAGUUGAUUUGUCGCUCAAGUUACUUUAUUUUUGUUUAUUGGGUGGAUAUUUUUUCCCUGAAUACUAGCUCUGUGAAGGAAAGUAAAAAAGCGCAAUGUGUGUAAAAAAAAAUUAAAAUUAAAGAAAAGCUUUUUUUUUUCUUUUUAAAUGUAUUUAAAUUCUGGUUCUCUCUUCUGUUACUUUACACGUAUGAAUGCUCUGCUCUUCUGUGAUCUUAAAACAAAAUGAAAUAAACGUGAAAAGGAGAUGUGUCUUGGUUGACCUGAAUCC
rnacentral:lncRNA from 1 species